UUAAAAUUGCCUAGAAACCCUAAAUUAAAUUAAAAAUAUCCCUCUCCAUCUCCCCUCCCCCAACGGGCAUCUCCAUCUCCAUAUCCAUAUCUCAAUCGGCAGAAUCGACUCGUGUUUUCCCCACACCAAGAGUCAUAGCCCUGGCAGAUUUCACGCCGCCGGCCUGCUUGCCCGGAGAAGAAAGCCGAGGAUGUGGCUGUCUCGGAGUUUGGUCCCCGCCGCGGCUGCUACUCGCCAUCAUCAGACGCCGUCGUCUCCUGCAGCAGGUCGCUGGUCCGGAUUCGUGGGCAGCGUCGCGUGGCUGCUGACUCGCGGCCUUGCCUCCGCCGCCAACUGCGCGAACCCGUCCCCGUCCGCCCUCCCAUCGUGAACUAUGGCCUUCCUGAAAUCCACACAGAUAGACUACAAUGCCACGGGCUUACACUGGUGUUGGGAAAUGAAGCUUUGGAAAUCAUAGAAUAUGCUUUUUCAAAAGAUAGGUUGUGAAGACUUUUGACUUCAGCCUCACUGGUGCCUCUUCAAGAUCUUGUAAAUAUGUCAUGAAUACUAUGAUGCUGACUUUUAAGAACAAGAGGCUUGCUUAUGCAGUUAAGGAGAGUACUCUUGAUAGUCUCAUCAUGGAACUAUUGCUCCAGCUUUUGGAUGAUAGUAAUCCCCAAUGGUGGAUGAUGGAAGUCAACUUUUAAGAGCUUCGAAUGUUCUGAUGUUAAAGAUUCUGGAUAACGUAGAAUGUAUUUCAUCAUUUCCUGUGUUUAUAUAUCUGUCAAGACCUGGAUCCAUCAAGAUGGCCAUCUCCAUCAAAUGAACUCUUGAAAUCAGAAACCAGAAGUUCUCUGAUUUGGUUGUUAAAUGUUUGAUCAUGCUCACUAAGGUCUGAGCAGGUUAAGGAGCCAAGACCAGAACCUGUUCCUUAGGCUGUGGGUUCUGUACCCACUUAAGAGUGUAGCUGAUGAAAGCUUCAAAAUGGUGGGAGAGGAAAGAGGCUGUUGCUGAACUAGCCGAACUUGCUUCAACCAAAAAGAUUUCUCUUGGAGAUUUUUUCAGAAAGUUUGUCAUACAUUAAAGAAGGUUAUCACGCAUGUAAAUGUUACUGAAGGAAGGAAAAAAAGGAAAAAAAAAGAAAAAAACAUUGUUGUUGCAGCUGAAGCUAUUCAAGUGCUGGGCAACCUUCCUAAGGGCAUGAGAACCCUUCCUAAAAAAAAGAAAAAAAAGAACAAAAAGAAAAAAAAGGAAAAAAAAAUGAAAAAAGCAAAAAAAGAAAAAAAAGGAAAAAAUAAUUGUUGAUGCAUUUAAAGCUAUUCAAGCACUGGGCAACUUUGCUGGGGAUCCGAGAGCCCAUUUUUUGGCCAGUUGUCGCUUCUUAUUUACCUGUAAACCGCACCUCAGGACCUUGUCGAUCCAGUUGAUAUAUUAAAGCCUACUUAGGAGAAGUCUGGAUUUUGGGAAGCGGUGAAAGCUUCAGAAUGGCGUGAGAGGAAAGAAGCUGUUGCUGAACUAACCGAACUUGCUUCCACCAAAAAGAUUUCUCUUGGAGUUUUUUUCAGAAUGUUUGUCGUACAUUAAAGAAGGUUAUCACGAAUGUAAAUGUUACUGAAGGAAGGAAGAAAAAGGAAAAAACAUUGUUGUUGCAGUUGAAGCUACUCAAGCGCUGGGCAACCUUCCUAAGGGCCUGAGAACCCUUCUAAAAAAAGAGAAAAAAGGAAAAAAAGGAAAAAAAAGGGAAAAAGAGAAAAAAAAUAAUUGCUACUGCGUAAAAAGCUAUUCAAGCAUUGGGCAACAUUGCUAGACUUUUCAGAGCAAGAGCCUUGCUUAUGCAGUUAAGGAAUGUACUCUUCUCAUCAAGGAACUGUUACUCUGGCUUUUGGAUGAUAGGCUUUCGGAGAUGGAUGAUGGAAGUCAAAUUUUAACUGCUUUGAAUGUUCUGAUGUUAAAAAUUCUGGAUAACGCAGAAUAUACGCCAUCAUUUCCUGGGCUUAUAAAUCUGUAAAGACCUCUGGAUCCAUCAAGAUGUCCAUCUUCAGAUCAGAAAUCUUUAAAUGUUUGAUCAUGCUCCAACGGAAUCUGCAACUCCAAAGAAGGUUGUUAAAGUAACUUAUUCUACAUCAUCUGUAGUGACUGGUGGCAUAGAUGGACUUCCACGUGAAGAUAUACGUGAAAAGAUCACCCCCACUUUGUUAAAAGACUUAUAGAGUCCUGAUUGGAAGGUCCACUUGGAGUCUAUUGAAAAUGUAACCAAAAUUCUAGAAGAGGUGAACUGGAACUGGAGAUCUAUUUGGAGCUCUAUAAGGGCGUCUACACGACAGUUCUAAAAUUUGAUAAGUGCUACUUUGUCCAUAAUUGGUACUCUUGGGACUAUAAUGGGAUAUCCAGUUGAGAAGUCAGGCUAGGUACUCUUUUACAAUGGCCAAUGUUGUUAAGUCACCACGUAGCCAAAGGUCAAGCUCCUCAGGACCUUAUCGAUCCAGUUGAUAUAUUAAAGCCUUUGGAGAAGUCCGGAUUUUGGGAAGCGGUGAAAGCUUCAAAAUGGCGUGAGAGGAAAGAAGUUGUUGCUGAACUAACCGAACUUCCUUCCACCAAAAAGAUUUCUCUUGGAGACUUUUUCAGAAAGUUUGUCAUACAUUAAAGAAGGUUAUCACGAAUGUAAAUGUUACUGAAGAAAGGAAAAAAAAAGAAAAAAACAUUGUUGUUGCAGCUGAUGCUAUUCUAGAGCUGGGCAACCUUCCUAUGGGACUGAGAAUCCUAGUAAAAAAAAGAAAAAAAGGAAAAAAAGAAAAAAAGAAAAAAAAGAAAAAAAGAAAAAAAAGGGAAAAAAGAAAAAAAUUUGUUGUAGCAUAUAAAGCUAUUCAUGCACUGGGCAACCUUGCUAGGGUUCCGAGAGCCCAUUUUUUGGCCAGUUGUCGCUUCUUAUUGCCUUUAAACCGACUUUUCAGAACAAGAGCCUUGCUUAUGCAGUUAAGGAGUGUACUCUGAUAGUCUCAUCAAGGAACUGUUUCUCUGGCUUUUGGAUGAUAGGCUUCCGGAGAUGGAUGAUGAAAGUCAAAUCGCAACUGCUUUGAAUGUUCUGAUGUUAAAGAUUCUGGAUAACGCAGAAUACACGUCAUCAUUUCCUGUGCCUAUAAAUCUGUUAAGACCUCUGGAUCCAUCAAGAUGUCCAUCUUCAGAUCAGAAACCUAAAACCUAAAGUUCUCUGAUUUGGUUUUUAAAUGUUUGAUCAUGCUCUAAAGGAAUCUGCAACUCCAAAGAAGGUUGUUAAAGUAACUUAACUGGUGGCAUAGAUGGACUUCCACGUGAAGAUAUAAGUGAAAAAGUCACCCCACUUUGUUAAAAGGCUUAUAGAGUUCUGAUUGGAAGGUCCACUUGGAAUCUAUUGAAAAUGUAACCAAAAUUCUGGAAGAGGAGAACUGGAACUGGAGAUCUGUUUGGAGCUCUAUAAGUGCGUCUACACGACAGUUCUAAAAUUUGAUAAUUGCUACUUUGUCCACAGUUGGUGCUCUUCGAUCUACAAUGGGACAUCCAGUUGAGAAGUCAAGCUAGCUCCUGUGAAGGCUUGAUCAUUUACACGAAUGUGGCUCGUGCAAGGGAUUCAUUCAGAUUUUUCAGAUGUCUUGAAAUGCCUUGGUGACAACAAAACGCAUAUGCAUGAGUGUACAUUGAGUACCUUAGAUACCUGGCUUGAGUGUACAUCUGGCCAAUGUUGUCAAGUCACCACGUAGCCAAAGGUCGAGCUCCUCAGGACCUUAUCGAUCAAGUUGAUAUAUUAAAGCCGUUGGAGAAGUCUGGAUUUUGGGAAGCGGUAAAGCUUCAAAAUGGUGGGAGAGGAAAGAGGUUGUUGCUGAACUAGCCGAACUUGCUUCAACCAAAAAGAUUUCUCUUGGAGAUUUUUUCAGAAAGUUUGUCAUACAUUAAAGAAGGUAAUCACGAAUGUAAAUGUUACUGAUGGAAAAAUAAAGAAAAAAAAUAAAAAAAACAUUGUUGUUGUAGCUGAAGCUAUUCAAGAGUUGGGCAAUCUUGGCAUGAGAACCCUUCCUAAAAAAAGGAAAAAAAGAAGAAAAUGAAAAAAGCAAAAAAAGGAAAAAAAAAGUAAAAAAUAAUUGCUGAUGCAUUUAAAGCUAUUCAAGAACUGGGCAACGUUGCUAGACUUUUCAGAACAAGAGCCUUGCUUAUGCAGUUAAGGAGUGUACUCUGAUAGUCUCAUCAAGGAACUGUUUCUCUGGCUUUUGGAUGAUAGGCUUCCGGAGAUGGAUGAUGGAAGUCAAAUUUUAACUGCUUUGAAUGUUCUGAUGUUAAAGAUUCUGGAUAACGCAGAAUAUACGUCAUCAUUUCCUGUGCCUAUAAAUCUGUUAAGACCUCUGGAUCCAUCAAGAUGUCCAUCUUCAGAUCAGAAACCUAAAACCUAAAGUUCUCUGAUUGGGUUUUUAAAUGUUUGAUCAUGCUCUAAAGGAAUCUGCAACUCCAAAGAAGGUUGUAAAAGUAACUUAACCGGUGGCGUAGAUGGACUUCCACGUGAAGAUAUAAGUGAAAAGGUCACCCCCACUUUGUUAAAAGGCUUAUAGAGUUCUGUUUAGAAGGUCCACUUGGAAUCUAUUGAAAAUGUAACCAAAACUCUGGAAGAGGAGAACUGUAACGUUGGUGCUCUUCGGACUACAAUGGGACAUCCAGUUGAGAAGUCAAGCUAGCUCCUGUGAAGGCUUGAUCAUUUACAUGAAUGUGGCUCGUGCAAGGGAUUCAUUCCGAUUUUUCAGAUGUCUUGAAAAGCCUUGGUGACAACAAAAAGCAUAGUGCAUGAGUGUACAUUGAGUACCUUAGAUACUUGGCUUGAGUGUACAUCUGGCCAAUGUUAUCCAGUCACCACGUAGCCAAAGGUCGAGCUCCUCAGGACCUUAUCGAUCAAGUUGAUAUAUUAAAGCCGUUGGAGAAGUCUGGAUUUUGGGAAGCGGUGAAAGCUUCAAAAUGGUGGGAGAGGAAAGGGGUUGUUGCUGAACUUGCCGAACUUGCUUCAACCAAAAAGAUUUCUCUUGACGAUUUUUUCAGAAAGUUUGUCAUACAUUAAAGAAGGGAAUCACGAAUGUAAAUGUUACUGCAGGAAAAAAAAGGAAAAAAAGAAAAAAAUAUUGUUGUUGCAGCUGAAGCUAUUCAAGCGAUGGGCAACCUUGGCAAGAGAACCCUUCCUAGAAAAAAUAAAAAAAAAGGAAAAAAAGGAAAAAAAGAAAAAAAUGAAAAAAGCGAAAAAAGGAAAAAAGGAAAAAAUAAUUGCUGAUGCAUUUAAAGCUAUUCAAGCACUGGGCAACGUUGCUAGACUUUUCAGAACAAGAGCCUUGCUUAUGCAGUUAAGGAGUGUACUCUAAUAGUCUCAUCAAGGAACUGUUUCUCUGGCUUUUGGAUGAUGGGCAUCCGGAGAUGGAUGAUGGAAGUCAAAUCGCAACUGCUUUGAAUGUUCUGAUGUUAAAGAUUCUGGAUAACGCAGAAUACACGUCAUCAUUUCCUGUGCCUAUAAAUCUGUUAAGACCUCUGGAUCCAUCAAGAUGUCCAUCUUCAGAUCAGAAACCUAAAACCUAAAGUUCUCUGAUUUGGUUUUUAAAUGUUUGAUCAUGCUCUAAAGGAAUCUGCAACUCCAAAGAAGGUUGUAAAAGUAACUUAACUGGUGGCGUAGAUGGACUUCCACGUGAAGAUAUAAGUGAAAAGGUCACCCCCACUUUGUUAAAAGGCUUAUAGAGUUCUGUUUAGAAGGUCCACUUGGAAUCUAUUGAAAAUGUAACCAAAACUCUGGAAGAGGAGAACUGUAACGUUGGUGCUCUUCGGACUACAAUGGGACAUCCAGUUGAGAAGUCAAGCUAGCUCCUGUGAAGGCUUGUUCAUUUACACGAAUGUGGCUUGUGCAAGGGAUUCUUUCAGAUUUUUCAGAUGUCUUGAAAUGCCUUGGUGACAACAAAACGUAUGUGCAUGAGUGUACAUUGAGUACCUUAGAUACUUUGCUUGAGUGUACAUCUUGCCAAUGUUGUCAAGUCACCACGUAGCCAAAGGUCGAGCUCCCCAGGACCUUAUUGAUCAAGUUGAUAUAUUAAAGUCGAUGGAGAAGUCAGGAUUUUAGUAAGCGGUGAAAGCUUCAAAAUGGUGGGAGAGGAAAGGGGUUGUUGCUGAACUUGCCGAACUUGCUUCAACCAAAAAGAAUUCUCUUGACGAUUUUUUCAGAAAGUUUGUCAUACAUUAAAGAAGGGAAUCACGAAUGUAAAUGUUACUGCAGGAAAAAAAAGGAAAAAAAGAAAAAAAUAUUGUUGUUGCAGCUGAAGCUAUUCAAGCGAUGGGCAACCUUGGCAAGAGAACCCUUCCUAGAAAAAAUAAAAAAAAAGGAAAAAAAGGAAAAAAAGAAAAAAAUGAAAAAAGCAAAAAAAGGAAAAAAGGAAAAAAUUAUUGCUGAUGCAUUUAAAGCUAUUCAAGCACUGGGCAACGUUGCUAGACUUUUCAGAACAAGAGCCUUGCUUAUGCAGUUAAGGAGUGUACUCUAAUAGUCUCAUCAAGGAACUGUUUCUCUGGCUUUUGGAUGAUAGGCUUCCGGAGAUGGAUGAUGGAAGUCAAAUCGCAACUGCUUUGAAUGUUCUGAUGUUAAAGAUUCUGGAUAACGCAGAAUACACGUCAUCAUUUCCUGUGCCUAUAAAUCUGUUAAGACCUCUAGAUCCAUCAAGAUGUCCAUCUUCAGAUCAGAAACCUAAAACCUAAAGUUCUCUGAUUUGGUUUUUAAAUGUUUGAUCAUGCUCUAAAGGAAUCUGCAACUCCAAAGAAGGUUGUUAAAGUAACUUAACUGGUGGCAUAGAUGGACUUCCACGUGAAGAUAUAAGUGAAAAAGUCACCCCCACUUUUUAAAAGGCUUAUAGAGUUCUGUUUGGAAGGUCCACUUGGAAUCUAUUGAAAAUGUAACCAAAAUUCUGGAAGAGGAGAACUGGAACUGUUGGUGCUCUUCGGACUACAAUGGGACAUCCAGUUGAGAAGUCAAGCUAGCUCCUGUGAAGGCUUGUUCAUUUACACGAAUGUGGCUUGUGCAAGGGAUUCUUUCAGAUUUUUCAGAUGUCUUGAAAUGCCUUGGUGACAACAAAACGUAUGUGCAUGAGUGUACAUUGAGUACCUUAGAUACUUGGCUUGAGUGUACAUCUUGCCAAUGUUGUCAAGUCACCACGUAGCCAAAGGUCGAGCUCCCCAGGACCUUAUUGAUCAAGUUGAUAUAUUAAAGUCGAUGGAGAAGUCAGGAUUUUAGUAAGCGGUGAAAGCUUCAAAAUGGUGGGAGAGGAAAGAGGAUGUUACUGAACUAGCCGAACUUGCUUCAUUCUAUGGACUGAUCGUUGAUGUAUAAAUUGAACAAAUGCCAUCUUUAUGUUUUGUUUCCUUUUCUAAUUAGGAUUGGAAUAGAUCUGACACCCAACAGCUGUUAGAGUUAACUGUGUAAAUAAGAGUUGUGAUUUUAGUUUGACAUAGUGAAAGAUGCUGAUAGGGUAGUUUCACGCAUGGCGAAUAAGACAUUGUUAUGCUAUUUUUGACAUACCACUUAGGCAUUGUUUCUGUGAGGUCCGCACAAUUGGUAUCUUUUCAUGCAAGUUGAGAAGACUUUUGACUUCCGCCUCACUGGUGCCUUUCAAGAUCUUGUAAAUAUGUCCUGAAUACUAUGAUAUAGACUUUUCAGAACAAGAGGCUUGCUUAUGCAUUUAAGGAGAGUCCUCUCAUAGUCUCAUCACGUAACUGUUACUCUGGCUUUUGGAUGAUAGGGUUCCGGAGAUGGAUGAUGGAAGUCAAAUUUUAACAGCUUUGAAUGUUUUGAUGUUAAAGAUUCUGGAUAACACAGAACGUACAUCAUCAAUUCUUGUGCUUAUAAAUCUGUUAGGAAAUCUGGAUCCAUCAAGACGUCUAUCUUCAUUUCUCUGAUUUGGUUGUUAAAAUGUUUGAUCAAGCUCCAAAGGCAUCUGCAGCUCCAAAGAAGGUUGUUAAAGUAACUUAUUCUACAUCAUCUGUGGUGACUGGUGGCCUGGAUGGACUUCCACGUGAAGAUACUGUUUAAAAGAUCCCCCCCACUUUGUUAAAAGGAUUAGUCCACUUGGAAUCUAUUAAAAAUGUAACCAAAUUCUGAAAGAGGUGAACUGGAACUGGAGAUCUAUUUGGAGCUCUAAAAGGGCGUCUACACAAUAGUAGCAAAAAUUUGAUAAUUGCUACUUUGUCCACAAUUGGUGCUCUUGGGACCACAAUGGGACAGCAGAAAUUAAGCUAGGGCAUUCUUUCAGAUGUUUUGAAAUGCCUUGGCGACAACAGAAAGCAUAUGCGUGAGUUUACAUUGAGUACCUUAGACACUUGGCCUUGUGCUGCCCAUCCCAAUAAAAUGCUAUUCUCACAGGCUAAAGUAGGCGCAGAGGGGCGAAAUUUGAUUGGCUAUCAAGACAACUUGCUGGAUUAGCUGAGUUUCAUGAUGCAAUCAAGCUAAUCAAACCCACUACAUCUGCUAUUACGGCAUUUUGUUAUUCAAAGUUGAUAUUCUUCAGGUAGCUGUUUGUGCCAACUUUAUGUCUCAGGAUAUUUCUUGGUUACCUUUCUAGGAUAAAUCAACAGAUGUUCAUAAAGAGGCUGAAGCAUGAUUUAAUGAAAUAUUGAGGGUUUGUGGACAUGAAACGGUAUGAACAUCCAAAAUUUUUAUUACUUUAUUGAGGUUUGCUAACUCUUUUAGCUGCUAGAUGGUGCUAGACCUAUCUUAUAUCUCUCGCCUUACAGGUAUCCGAAAAUUUGAGAGAUAUACAAGAUUAUGCUUUAGCUGAUAUUAGCAAACGACUGAAGCCAUAUGGAGCUUUUCAUGCUACUUUCCAUUAAAUCACUCAUCUCCUAAUAAAAAAUUUAUAUUGUUUUUCUACUUUUUCAUAUCAUUAUGUUGAUUUUUCUUGUGCCACAUAUCCAUUGCAGAAUAAUUAUGAAUCUGGUGAAUUUGUUUCGUCAAGCAUCACGUUGGAAAGCAGCCUAAAGACAGCAAAAUCUAAUGGAAAUGGCGACCGCGAAUCUCAACAUGGAAGCAGAAAUGCACCUUCAAGAGUUGUGCCUAACAAGGGAUUCAAGCAAGAAUCUAUCUUGUCUUUUCAAGACAUCAACAUUCAGUCACAACAAGGAUGGCAGAGAAAGAAUUAUUGUUCGCAGAUUCAAAUUAGAUGAAUUGCGUGUAGAGGAAAUUCAAGAUCUUGAGAUUUUUAGUAAGGGACUAUGCUUACUUCAAAAAGAAUGAUGUCAUGAAAUACUUUCGAGAGGAUCUGCAUCGGAGGCUCUAAGUGCUGACUUCAAAAAUCAAGUUGAUGGCAUUGAGAUGUUGCAAAAGGCUCUUCCUCCAUGGGAAGGGAGGUGAUUGAAGUCUUAGAUAUACUUUUAAAGUGGUUUGUGUUGAGGUUUUGUGAAUUCAACACAUCAUGCUUAUUAAAGGGAUGAAAGUUGUGUGCAAUGAAUUGGCUUAAGCAACUGCUGACCCCAAGGGCAGCACAAUGGAAGAAAUACAGAAUGAUGCUGAUUAACUAGUUUCAUGCCCGACUUUUUAGAACAAGAGGCUUGCAUAAGGAGAUAAGGAGAGUACUAGUCUCAUCUUACACGAAACUGUUGCUAUGGCUUUUGGAUGAUAGGGUUCCACGGAUGGAUGAUGGAAGUCAACUUUUGAGAGCUUUUAAUGCUCUGAUGUUAAAGGUUCUGGUAACUAUCACUAUAAAACUUAUGAGGCAAGCAUUGCUAGUUUUUCUCCUCUCUUGUGAAUAUAAUUGUUGUUGUGGGGCCGGAUUGCACGUGCAGGAUAAUGCAUAGCGUAAUUCAUCAUUUGUUGUUCUUAUAAAUCUGUUAAGACCUUUGGAUCCAUUAAGAUGGCCUUCUCCAGCAUCAAAUGAGUCUCUAGCAAUCAGAAACCAGAAAUUCUGCGAUUUGGUUGUUAAAUGUUUGAUCAAGCUCACGAAUGUAUUAUAUCUUGAUCUGUUUUAUCUUGUUUAUUUUUUCUUUUAAUUAUGUAUUGUUCUUAUAUUAUUGAUGUAGUGAAUCUUCCUUCUGUAAGAAUGUUAUGUUGCAUAGUUUGACGACAUUGUUUGAAAGCAUUUGCAUAGUCUUACUUAAUCGAUUGAUAGUUGUUUUAACUUUUGGAGAUCUAUGUAGGUGCUUCACUCUUAGUUUUUGUAUGCCCCCCCUAAUUUAUGGUUUUGCAUCGUGGGUUCAUUGUAGCCCACUUUUUUUGUAAGUCAAUUGGUGUCUUUUGAUCAUUUCAUAGAUGAUCAUUUUUCAAUAUAAUUUUAUCCUUCCUUUGUAUUUCUUGAGGAAUUAUUUUCUGGUUAGUUAAUAUGCUCCUGUUUAAGAAAUUGUUUGUUUUUCUAUUUUCUGGUUAGUUAAUAUACUUAAAUAUUUUAUAGAUUUAGCAACUUAAGUACAUGGUAAUGUUCUGUCUUAGUUAUUAUUUGUCCAUCCAUUAUUUACAAGUUUAUGGAGUCAAGAAAUCUGCUUGUUUUGAAUUUUUCUUUUGCUUUCAAGAUAAACCUUUAUCCAUUCCUUUGCCAUUGUUUGAAGCGAAAUAGUACCUAAGUAGUAGAUUAAUCCUCAUAUCAUGCCUUUUUAUUUUUAUUUUUCUUGAUAUUUUCUUUGCUUCAUCUGGUGAAUAUUUAUAUACUCCUUUAUUUAUUGGUCUUUUCUAAAAAUGCUAGAUAUUACUAUUAUAUACAUGUUGUCUUUGGUUCUUUGAUGUUAGAGUAUUGCGCUUACUGUGAUUCUUUUGUAUGAAUUGCAUUGGCAGAUUGGGCUGCUUUUUCAAAAUUGUUAUCUUGCUACUAAGUUUUUUGUUUCAGCUAUUAUGUCUUUGAAGACCAGAUUGAAUAACAAACGAAUUUGGAUCCAUCUGUUGAGAUGUUGAUCCUUUUACUGUGUUAUUCCUGGCUGGAAUGAGAAAAAUGUUCAGGUGCUGCAUCCAGGAAUUAACUGCAUCUGGUGAACAUGAAUUUACUGUUUUUUGCUUUUCUGGUAGAUGUAAAGGUAUUUCUGCAUUAAACCUGCUUUACUACGAGGUAAAUUCUUUUUGGUGUAAAACUGUCAGUUUUCCCAAUAUAAGUUUGUUCUUCAAUUCAAAUUUACAAAUACAGUAUUGCAGGCAUCUGCACUCCAAAGAAGGUUGUUAAAGUAACUUAUUCUACAUCAUCUGCGGUGACUGGUGGCAUGGAUUGUCUUCCAUGUGAAGAUAUCAAUAAAAAAGAUCACCCCACUUUCUUUUAGAGAGUUCUGAUUGGAAGGUCCGCUUGGAAUCUACUGGAAGAGGUGAACAAACGUGUUCUGCUGGAUGGAACUGGAGAUCUAUUUGGAGCUAUAAAAGGGCGUCUACACGACACUAACAAAAAUUUGAUUGUUGCUACUUUAUCCACAAUUGGUGCUUUCUUAUACUAUUAGUUAUUAGUUUAUUAAGAGUCUCUUGCGCUAACUAACUGAGAUUCACAAUCCCAAUAUUAUAAAUACUUGGGAUCAUUUAACAAAUCCCGAAUUCCUCAAAGCCAAUAGCUUUACAUAUGCGUGAGUGGUCAUUGAGUACCUUAGAUACUUAGCUAUGCUCAUCCCAAUAAAAUGGUCUGUAGUCGAUUUGGUUUUCCAACUUCUGUUUUGAGUAUUGUUGACCUCAUCUUUUGUUGUGUCUACCACUACCAUGUAUUUCAGCUGUUCUCACAGACGCUAGGAUAAAUCAGCAAAUGUUCGUAAAGCGGCUGAAGCAUACUUUAAUGUAUUGAGGGUUUGUGGACAAGAAACGGUAUCCAAGAAUUUGAGAGAUAUACAAGGUUCUGAUUUAGCUAUUAUUAGCAAACAACUGAAGCCAUAUUGAGCUUUUCAAGAUAAUUAUGAAUCUGGUGGAUAUGUUUUGUUAAGCAUCACGGCAGAAAGCAUCCUAAAGACAGCAAAACCAAACGGUCAUGGUUACCGCGAAUCUUGGCAUGAAAGUAGAAAUGCACCUUCAGAGUUGGCACCUAACAAGGGAUCCAUGCAAGAAUCCAUCUUGUCUAUUGAAGACAUCGAUAUUCAGUCACGAGUUUUGAUCAGCAAGGAUGACAGGGAAAUGAUUAUUGUUUGCCGAUUCAAAUUCGAAGAAUUGCAUAUAGAGCGCAUUCAAGAUCUUCAGUUUUCAUUUUGAGGUUUCGUUUCUCUUGUAAGAUUUCUUUAUUAAUUUUGUGGGAUUAGCUUUUCUAUACCACAGAGGAGGCCUUCAUACAACUUUUUAGAACUUUUUUCAGCUUUUGGGUUUGAGUAAAUUGUUAGACCAUUAGUGUUCGACUUGUUUUGGCAUCUGUGUGGCUUAUAUAAUUUUUUUGCAUGUGAUCAUAUGUUACAUUCUUUAUAGAUGUUAGUAAGUGACUUUACUUACUUCUCAAACAUUAUGAUGUCAAAUUGAUGGCAUUGAGAUGUUGCAGAAGGUUCUUUCAACAUAAAUUCUGGUUUUGAUUGUGUAACUUGAAAUUUUCUUCUAACCUUCGAUUUGUUUAUGAUAUACAGGUUCUUCCUCCAUGGGAAGAGAGGUGAUUGAAGUCUUAGAUAUACUCUUAAUUUGUGUUAAGGUUUUGUGAAUCCAACACAUCAUGCUUAUUAAUGGUAAAUAGGAUUUUAUUAAUCGGUUUUUUUGUCAGCAUGCCUGUGUGCUUUGCUCACUGAAUUAAAGCUCACUGAAUUCACUGAAAAGGAAAUGAGUGGUAGCAUAUUUGAUGAGUAUUCUCAAUUAGAACAUUUGUUUAUUCUGCUUGUUUGUGGAUUUGCUAAAAUUACAAAUUUUUAUUGAUUCUCCAAUAUCUAGCUCUCUAAUGAUGUUAUAGCAGGUGUAUAUACAUGUUCUGAUAAUUCUUAUCUAUCAUAUUUAAACUAUCUCAUAUCCUUUCUUAACUUUUGAGCUUCUGUAACUUUGAUAAGGUACUUAAAUUUCAUCCCAGGCUUCUGGAUCUGUUGAAAAAUGAGGGCUACACUAUGACAGAAGCAGAGGCAACCCAUCUUUCUACCUUGCUUGGUUGAGAAGGUCCUACUCCUUUCUCCUUGACAAGGGUCUAUAAAGUUAAAUGGUGGGCUAAGUUCCAAAAUCAUAUUGGAGCUGAAUCUGCUGUCAAACAAUUUUUUACCACUGGUGAAAAGGUGAUUUUCCAAAAGGACAAGAAAGAGAAAAGCAAGGCAGAAAGAACAAAGAAGGCCAGUAUUGCAGAGCCAAAUAAUUUUCUGGAAAAUCUUCCAGAACAUAUCAAGAGAGAUUUCUUCGAUUUUAUGGCUCAAAAGUCUGUCUCUUCAAAAUCCAAAUAUGAAGAAUCGGUCUCUUCUGAUCCUAUUGGGGUAAGGACCGCUUUGAUUUUUGAUGACAGGUUUCUUUAGAAAGAAGAAUACUGAAGCCUAUUCUAGGUUUCUCAUUGAAAAUAUCAAGAUUGAUACCGAAAUGGUCAUCUCCCUUUCAGAGAUUACAAAGAUUAUUCUUGAAGUCCCUCCGGAAGAAGUGGAUUUUCCAUUUCUUAGAGAAACCAUUGAUGACAUUUUUCAUAGAGUCAAUAGAAUUAAAAGGAUGAAAAGAACUCUCAAAAUUAUCUCCAUUAUUACUGCAGCCUGACCAAUGCAUCCUUUUCAAAGAUUCGAUUUUAGAUCAGAACUCAGAUGGCUCCAGGCAGCAAUUCUUAAUGAAGAAAGAUGUUUGGAAGAAAUGUACAAAUACCGAAUGAGAAGAAGUCAUCAUAUGGAUUUCUACCAUAAUAAUGAAGAAUGGAGACGUUGUCAAUACAUCAAGUAUUGUAAAAACAAGAUUCAGCGAAUUAACUUCAUAUUGGCUGCAUGAUUGCUUCAUGAGCCACCUUCUUCAAAAGCUCUGUCCUCAAAAGUCAAGAAUGACGGCUACUUCAGAAGAAAUAACCACGUAGCCACUCUUUUGUAAAUAACUGUUUGUAAUAGUUGUUCCACUAUGUAAAUUAUUGUGUUUUAUGUCAUUGCUUACGUUUCUGUAAGAUACUGUACUCCUAUGUAGCCAGGGUUGUUGGCUAUAAAUAAGAGGUUUUCUAGGAAGAGAAGGACACCGGUUACUGAUCUCAGAACCAUUGCUCUUCUCCCUCCUUCCCUCUUUUACCUUCCAAGUUUUAAUCCAAAGUGAGUUUUCAUAUUACUUUUUAA